CCGUAGGUGAACCUGCGGAGGGAUCAUUACAGAGUUGCAAAACUCCCUAAACCAUUGUGAACGUUACCUUCAAACCGUUGCUUCGGCGGGCGGCCCGGGUCCGCCCGGUGCCCCCUGGCCCCCUAGCGGGGCGCCCGCCGGAGGAAAACCCAACUCUUGAUUAUUAUGGCCUCUCUGAGUCUUCUGUACUGAAUAAGUCAAAACUUUCAACAACGGAUCUCUUGGUUCUGGCAUCGAUGAAGAACGCAGCGAAAUGCGAUAAGUAAUGUGAAUUGCAGAAUUCAGUGAAUCAUCGAAUCUUUGAACGCACAUUGCGCCCGCCAGUAUUCUGGCGGGCAUGCCUGUUCGAGCGUCAUUUCAACCAUCAAGCCCCGCGCUUGUGUUGGGGACCUGCGGCUGCCGCAGGCCCUGAAAACCAGUGGCGGGCUCGCUGUCACACCGGGCGUAGUAGAUUUUAUCUCGCUCAGGGCGUGCUGCGGGUUCCGGCCGUUAAAAAGCCUUUUUUACCCAAGGUUGACCUCGGAUCAGGUAGGAAUACCCGCUGAACUUAAGCAUAUCAAUAAGCGG
rnacentral:rRNA from 1 species